rnacentral:misc_RNA from 1 species
AACGCACAUUGCGCCCAUUAGUAUUCUAGUGGGCAUGCCUGUUCGAGCGUCAUUUCAACCCUUAAGCCCUUGUUGCUUAGUGUUGGGUGCCUACGCGCCAGCGUAGCUCCUCAAAGUUAGUGGCAGAGUCAGCUCAAGCUCUAGGUGUAGUAAAUCUUUUUCUCGCCUCUGUAGCUUGGCUGCCCCUCGCCAUAAAACACCCAAAAUUUUAAAAGGUUGACCUCGGAUCAGGUAGGAAUACCCGCUGAACUUAA